UGGGGAAUCUUCCGCAAUGGACGAAAGUCUGACGGAGCAACGCCGCGUGAGUGAAGAAGGUUUUCGGAUCGUAAAACUCUGUCUUUUGGGGCGAACGUGAGUAUGGUGAACAAUCAUAGUCAGUGACGGUACCAAAGGAGGAAGCCACGGCUAACUACGUGCCAGCAGCCGCGGUAAUACGUAGGUGGCAAGCGUUGUCCGGAAUUAUUGGGCGUAAAGAGCGCGUAGGCGGGAUAGUCAGUCUGUUGUAAAGUGCGGGGCUCAACCCCGUGAUGGCAAUGGAAACAGCUAUUCUUGAGUGCAGGAGAGGAAAGUGGAAUUCCCAGUGUAGCGGUGAAAUGCGUAGAUAUUGGGAGGAACACCAGUGGCGAAGGCGACUUUCUGGACUGUGUCUGACGCUGAGGCGCGAAAGCCAGGGGAGCGAACGGGAUUAGAUACCCCGGUAGUCCUGGCCGUAAACGAUGGGUACUAGGUGUGGGAGGUAUCGACCCCCUUCCGUGCCGGAGUUAACGCAAUAAGUACCCCGCCUGGGGAGUACGGUCGCAAGACUGAAACUCAAAGGAAUUGACGGGGUCAUAGCUGUUUCCUG
rnacentral:rRNA from 1 species